GUCCUUGGGGCUAUGACAUGUGCUUAAUUUGUUUUAUUUUAUUUAUUUUUUUCAAAUCAGUGUGAACUCUGAAAAAUGACAUGUCGUCCUUGGAGCUAUGACUUGUGCUCGUCGGCCAUGGAGGAGCCACCGUCAGCCACCGCCACGGAACCACCGUCGACAGAAGAGGACUAAGGCUCACACUCAGACUCAGAGCACUGAGGACCAUGAGAAACGAGGUCGACCUGCCGAUCGGUGACUUCGAAGAAACGAGGUCGACCUGCGCUGGACCUUCCGCCGCAGAAACUCGCCGGUAUCUCACCUUGAUUGGUACUUCAAUUCCCGAACUAAUUACGAUCGAAUAACCAUAUUGGAAACGCCAUUAGAAAUUAUCCACUAGUUAUUAAAUAGUUGAGUUGGUUGGUUUGUAAUUUCCUUUAUGCUUGAGUGCUAGACUGACAAACCUCAUUUAUUUUCCUCUUGUUCUGCUUCUAAGAGUGCUUCGGGGAUACUGUGUUUGCAAAAUGCAAGUGUUAGUAUCAGCUUUCUAUUUAGUUUAUUUUCUCUUAAGCUGGUGUUUAGUAUUUUGCACUAUGCUUUUGCUUUUCGAUGAUGAGAAUCCAUUGAUUGAGCUUACUGAUGAUGAAGAGGAGGAUGCAACAAACUUGGUACGAUACCAAUUCCUUGUGCAUCUGUUAAAAAGGCUGUAGCCUGUAGGGGAGAGGAUUGUUCCCGCCACUGAUAAUCGAAAGCCAUACUUUGUAAAUCAUAGCAAAAAUGUUGUGUUAUCUUUGUCUUGCUUGGUAUUUGUCCAUGUUAGUCAAAGCAUGCUUUCCUUCAAGUUUACUGUCCUGUUUAUAGUGUCUUUUUGCCUGCCACAACUCUGCGUGUUGAUUUAUGUUGGUUUGGACGAAAAUAUACAAAAGAGGACGCGAUUCUGAAUUUUCCAGGAAGUAUUUGAACACAACAGACGAGAUAUAACUCUUGCCAUCAUGAAGAAUUACCCGUUACUUCUAUGUAAGUUCAUGGAUGACAAAACAAAAGUACCAUCACUUAUUGAAUAUAUCGUGCGUAUGAAUCCUGAGCUACGUUCACUCCACUUGAGUGUCCCUGCGUCACUGAAAAGUGAAAACUUGUUUUUCCUUCCAAUUACCAAAAUCUGUUGUCAUGUCAAGUUUGUUAACUGCUCUACAAGUUCUAGCUUCUGGGGUAGAAUUUCUUAAUUUCACCAGAUUAGGAUACCUCUUUGGUUGUGACGGACUUGAGUGAUUUUUUUUGUCCUUCAUUCGUACCCUACGCUGUCCAUGCUUGUUUCCUUUUUCUGUUUGCAGCAUAUUGAUAAACACUCUCUCCUUGAUUCGGGGAUAUUGUGCUGUCUCAUUCAUAUUCUCAAUGCUCAUCUGGAUCCUGAUGAAGCCAAUCAAAAGCAAAAGGCUACUGAUCGUGAUGAACCAUUUCCAACUGAGAAAGAUUAUGACGGUGAUGCAGGUCAGGUCCAUCGGCUUGAGGUGUAUAUUUAACAUAUUUGAACUACAGCCAGUAGUAGCGCGUGGCAUUUUUUUCAUACUGAACUUAAUCUUUGCUUGUACGUUACUGUGCUCUUGUAUUUGUUAGGUUAUCGGUUCAUGGUAUGUUUUUAACCUUCUUUUUGUUUCUAACCUAUAAUUAUGCGGGUACAUGGGAUUGCUGUGCAUAUUAUGAAAGCACUGGCAAACCAUACUUUGGCAGCACAAAGUUUGAUUGAGGAUGAUUCUCUUCAGUUGCUCGUUCAGAUGGUUGCGAAUGGCUCUUUGACAGUCUUCUCUCGACAUAAGGAGAGCCCGGUUCUGCUGCACAGCCUUCCCUAUUUGUAAAGACAUAGUUGGAUAGCAACAUUUUCCAGAGUCAUAAUCUUAAAUUAGGUUUUAGAACCCGUAAUUCGGAUUUUGUUUGUGCUAAGUUGUGGUUAUCUUUCCAGAUUCUUGUUCUUCUCUUGGUCAAUGACAACAGGAGCACAGCAAAAUAUAUUUGCAAACAUCAUCUGAUCAAAGCUCUUUUAAUGGCUGUCAAAGAUUUCAAUCCUGAUUGCGGUGAUUCUACAUAUACCAUGGGCAUCAUGGAUUUGCCGCUUGUAUGUGUGGAAGUAUCAUAUAGACCUGCCGGUAGAAGCUGGUGGUGUCUGGCUUAGGGAGGAUAUACGUAAUGCCGAACAAAGAAAAGCUCUUUCAUAUAUGUUUCUGAAAGAACAUAUAUGUAAGAGUUUUUCUUUGUUAAGUAGUUAGCUCUGAUGGUUUCAUCCUUUCAUCAGAGGACGUGAUUGUGGGUCAUGAAAUGUUGCCAUGAUGAAGAAUGACCUGUUACUUAAGUUCAUGGAUGACAAACAAAAAGUACCAUCACUGAUUGAAUAUAUCGUUCGUAUGAAUAUUGAGAGCUACGUUUACUCCACUUUAUCGACCUUGUGUCACUGAAAACUUGUUUUUCCUCAUUUGAUUUUGUUGGAUCCAGUUACCAAAAUCGGUUGUCAAUGUCAUUCAUGUCUGAGUUGGAGACCUCUAUUUGGUUUUAACUUUGAUUUUUUGGUCCUUCAUCCGUACCGUAUGCUGUUCAUACCGUAUGCUUUUCAUACUUGUUUCCUUUUUCUGUUUGCAGCCUAUUGAUAAACAAUCUCUCCCUUGAUUCGUGCUGUCUCAUUCAUAUUCUCAAUGCCCUUCUGGAUCCUGAUGAAGCCAAUCAAAAGAAAAAGGCUACUGAUCGUGAUGAACUAUUUAAAAGUGAGGAAGAUUAUGACGGUGAUGCAGGUCAAGUCCGUCGGCUUGAGGUGGCUUUAACUUAAUGGUACACAAAACCAUACAUGUUUGUUACACAUGGAUGUAUGCAAAGUAGAACCUUGUAGCAUUUUGGAUCGUAACAUUAUUUAAGCAUGCCAGGAUUUGUUGUUAUUCUAACAUCAUCUCUUCCUCCCUGUUUGAGGUGUAUAUUUCGCAUAUUUGAAUUACAGCCAGCUACUAGUAGUUGUUUUCAUACUGAACUUAAUAUUUGCUUGUACGUUAUUAUGCUCUUGACAUGCUUA